AUGGACAUACCUGUCUCUGCUCCACUCGCUUUUGCAGGAAAGUAUGUGGCCACUCCGGCUAUAUCUUUCUUGGUCAGCAAGGCUUUCAGCUACAUCAAUGAAUACUUCAAAUCCGAAGACAUGGAUGAGUUGAAGAACCGGCUCCUGCUGGCCAUGCCACACAUCCAAGCGGUGUUUGAUGUCGUCAAGCCGGAACUUGUCAGGGAGCAAAGCAGCGCCCUAGAGGCAUGGCUCUGGCAGCUCAGGGAUGUAGUCGAGGCUGCAGAAGACGCCAUCGACGAGCUUGAAUACUACGAGCUCGAGGCCAAGGCCAAGGACCGAAAGGUUAGUGAGUGGGGUUCUCCUUUUGAUAAGAUGAACCACAAGCUUGUUAGAUCCGUUCAGAUUGGACCUGUCUUCAACAAGACUCACAAGAAAUCUACUCAUGGUGACACCGUCAAGAGAUUGAUGAAAUUUGUGCAUGAAUUAGACAAGGCCGCUGCAGGUGUGGUCAGUUUCCUCACUCUCACAGACCAUCUCAGUGGGCGCUCUUCUAGCACCAGCAGCCAACAACAAGUGCCGAAGCUGGUGAAAAAUGAUCGCCAGACGGGUUCGACAUUAAGUGCAACCAAAUUUGUUGGACGAGAAAAGGAGAAAGAAAAGAUUAUUGGAUGGUUGAUGAACACGCCAGUUCAAUUAGCAGAAACUGAGACUGGGGUGACAAUGAUCAACAAUAUUCCCAUUAUUUCAGUGGUCGGUCAUGGUGGCAUGGGGAAGACUACUUUGGCUCAGAGUAUAUGCGAACAAGAUGAGGUACGGAAGCAUCUUAAGAUCAUUUGGAUUACUGUGUCUGCUAGCUUUGAUGCGACAUCAGUGACAAGUAAAAUACUGGAAUGUGUUACAGGCGCAAAACCAAACACUGAUAAUUUGGAACCACUACAACAGUAUCUCAAAGAGAAACUCAAGUCUAUUAAGUUUUUGCUAGUUUUGGAUGACGUUUGGGAAGAUAAGAAAAGAGAUGAAUGGGAGAAGUUAUUUGCUCCUAUGAGAAAACUGAACACCGCUGGGAGCAAAAUUUUGUUGACAACCCGAAUGCAAUCUGUAGCGUACAUGGCAGCAAUAGUGAUGGGAGUCAAAAUGGAUCAGUGUUUGACAUUAAAAGGAUUGGAAGAAGAUGAAAAUCUUGAGCUCUUCAUUCAUCAUGCUUUUUCCAGGUUGAAUGCGGGAGACCAUGUAUAUGCAAAAUUAAUUGGAGAACGAAUUUCAAAGAAACUAAGAGGAUGUCCAUUGGUAACAAAGGUUGUCGGGGAGCAUUUGCAAGAUAACAUAUCACUUGAAUACUGGAGCAGAUUCUUGCAUCAAGGACUGGAACAUUUCAAAGGAGCCGAAGAAGACAUUAUGAAGGUUCUUAGAUUAAGCUACUACCACCUGCCAACAGAGCUACAAAUUUGCUUUCGAUAUUGUUGCAUCUUUCCGCGAGACUAUGAAUUUGAAAAGAAAGAACUAGUGCAAUUGUGGAUUGGUUCAGGAUUGAUCUCAGAGUUUGCAAGUGACACUCAAACUUUGGAGGUUACUGCAGAAUUGUUCUUGUCUCAGCUAACUAGAAAGUCAUUUUUUGAUCUGAAAUCCAAAUCUAGUGCGUUGAAACAAGAAAGUUAUGUAAUGCAUGAUUUGAUGCAUGAAUUAGCAAAGAAUGUGUCCAUUGGUGAAUGUGCAAAAAUAGAUGAUCCUGUCCAGCUUAAAGAUGAAAAGGAUACACUCCGUCACCUAUGCAUUGUCAAUAUUCAUAGUUUCUCUGCUGAUGAGAUCAAAAGAUUCUCGCAUUUUAAGAAUCUGCGCACUAUUAUCAUUUAUAAUGAAUGCGAGGUUGGAAAUGACGUUGUUUGUGCUGUUGAAAUGGUUGUUGAGAGCUCAAAAUCUUUGCGUCUAUUUCAUUCAGAAUUGAGAAACACAUUCUCUUUUGCUGACAAGUUUGCUAGCCUGAAACAUCUUCGUUAUAUCUACUUGCAUCAAAUAUCACCAGACACAAUAUGUGGGGUUGCCAAACUAUAUCACUUGAUGGUACUUCGAUGUGGUAUGGGUUUGGAGACUGAAACAUAUGAAGUGAGAUACUUAGGGAACCUUGAACGCUUGAGAUAUGUAUCAUAUGGAGUGCAUGGAUUUGGUUGUUUCGGCAUAAGCAGGCUCACUUCUCUUCAGGAAUUACAUGACUACCAGGUAGGAGGAAGAAUAUGCAAUGAAAUAAGUGCAAUUGGGAGCUUAAGAGAUCUCCGUGAAUUGGGUGUUCAGGGUCUUGAGAAUGUUAGGAAUUAUGAAGAAGCUAAGAAUGCCAAGUUGAAGGAGAAACAACAUCUUGACGAGUUAUAUCUAGAGUGGUCGAAAUCUGAGCAAAUCAUGACAGAUGGCUUGAUUCUUGACCACCUUGAGCCACAUGCUAAUAUAAAGGUAUUGCAAAUUCAGGGUUAUGAGGGUCCCAGGGUUCCAUUUUGGAUUGAGAAUCGCUCUGUCAAAAACCUGGUAUCUCUCAGGUUGAUAAGCUGUAUAAAUUGGGAAUACCUUCCCUCUCUCGGUGAGUUAGAAUUGUUGAAGCUUCUAAUGUUGGACCACCUUCCUAAGCUACGGCAGAUUGGUCGACCAUCUGAUAUGUCCAGUAACUCCAUGGAGUUGUUGUUACCUCAGAGCCUUGAUACUUUGGUAGUAAUUGAGUGCCGAAAAUUGAGGGAAUUACCUAUUCUACCUCCAAGCCUAGUAUCAUUGCAAAUACGACAUGUUUGGCUGACCAAACUUCCUAUGAUUGGCAAGAUAUCAAGUGAGAGCAUUGAGUCCAAAUCAUCUAAGUUGACAGAGAUAAUUAUCACCGGCUGUCCAUGUUUAACUUCGCUGGAAGGGAGCCUUUUGGAGCAAAAACUGUACAUGGGAGCUCUCCGUGUCCUAAAAGUUGAUGAUUGUAUACAGCUGGAGUCUGCGUCCAUACCAUUUGAAGAAAUGAAAGAACUUAAGGAGCUGAAAGUAAAGACAUGUCCAAAGUUGAGGACGACGAGAGAUGCAAGAGAUAAGCUCGUGCCAUUGUCACUCCGGGAAUUAACAAUUGCCCAGUGUGGUGAUCUGGAACUUUCACUACUUGGGUCACUACAGCUGCUCACCAACUUAUCUCGGCUCGAGCUGGAGAACUGCUCGAGCCUGGUAUCUCUCCCCUCCAUGGAUGUGUUCAAGAGUCUCGGAUCCCUGCGGAUCAUUUACAUAGAUGGAUGCGAGAACCUCUCAUCCCUGGGAGGACUCGGAUCACUUCCAUUUCUCAUCUGGUUAAGUAUCGUCGGGUGCAGUAAACUCACGGAGGCUGUUGGGACCUCACUAACUCGAGUUGCAUCUGGUUUUGGUUCUGGUGGUGAGGAAGAGCAACUGGUGGAGACCGGCAGCUCACUGCAGAUAUGUUCUCUUAAAAUUGAUUUGCCGUCCUUGCUGCUUCUUGAGCCGCUCAAGAGUCUGUGCCACACUGAAUAUUUAGACAUUAGUAAUGGGUCAGAGAUGGAGAGCUUACCUGAGCGAUGGCUGCUACAGAACCGCACAUCCCUCCAAGGCCUGGAUAUAACCAAAGCAGAUUCCUUGAGAUCGCUCCCACCGAGCAUGCAAGACCUCUGCUCUCUCAAGGAACUAUGGCUAUUUGGUGCUGGGCAACUCCGGUCACUUCCAUAUCUGCCCUCCUCCUUGAAAAAGCUGAACAUUACGGGAUGUCAUCCGGAGCUGGAGAAGGAGAUCAUAACACAUGGAAGCCCUGAAUGGAACAAGAUCUCCCACAUCCCUUAUGCGACAAUAGGAGAUUGGUAUUUCGUCAUGGACAAGAAAUUCAGGGAAGGGGCUUUGAUCACAUCCAACUAA
rnacentral:rRNA from 1 species